GCCGUUUUAGCUCAGGAGGUAGAGCACCGCCGUGGUAAGGAGGAGGUCGCCAGUUCAAAUCUGGCAAACGGCUUAU
rnacentral:tRNA from 1 species